rnacentral:rRNA from 1 species
AUUGAACGCUGGCGGCAUGCUUUACACAUGCAAGUCGGACGGCAGCACAGAGAAGCUUGCUUCUUGGGUGGCGAGUGGCGAACGGGUGAGUAACAUAUCGGAACGUACCGAGCAGUGGGGGAUAACUAAUCGAAAGAUUAGCUAAUACCGCAUAUUUUCUGAGGAAGAAAGCAGGGGACCAUUUGGCCUUGCGCUGUUUGAGCGGCCGAUAUCUGAUUAGCUAGUUGGUGGGGUAAAGGCCUACCAAGGCGACGAUCAGUAGCGGGUCUGAGAGGAUGAUCCGCCACACUGGGACUGAGACACGGCCCAGACUCCUACGGGAGGCAGCAGUGGGGAAUUUUGGACAAUGGGCGCAAGCCUGAUCCAGCCAUGCCGCGUGUCUGAAGAAGGCCUUCGGGUUGUAAAGGACUUUUGUCAGGGAAGAAAAGGACAGGGUUAAUACCCCUGUCUGAUGACGGUACCUGAAGAAUAAG